UAGUCUUAGACAAAUGCUCAAAGAGGUUGAAUGGCUACACCAUUUUUUUGAGGAUAUUCCUAGUUGGUAAAAACAUGUACCUCCAAUUUGUGUGCAUU